rnacentral:lncRNA from 1 species
AUUGUUUUCUUUUGUCAUGUGAAUUAGAUGCCCUUCUACUUCAAAUGGUUUGAAUCUAUUUAUGAAAUUAUUCAAGACUCAGUUGACAAGAGCAGUACGUUGCUGUUGGGAGAAUUUUGAUUAAACUCUAAAUGCUCAUAGAAUAAGAAAUAUAAUCUAAACUGAAUGUACCUCCUUCUGAAUAAUUUAUUGCAAUAUAAAUAUGAAUCCCUUUUGACAAGAGAAAUCUGACUUUUGUCAGAAAUAUUUGUUUCACAUGUGCAAAGGUAAUCAUGUGUGGCGGCCAUAUUGGUUUGU